UUUCUGGCAGACUGGGCGCGUCACCCAGGCGGUGCAGGACAGGAAACCGGUGCGAUUCCGGUGCGGUCCCGCCACUGUGACCGGUCGUCCCCCGCGGGGAAGGGCCGGGAGUCAGACACUGACGCACCGCCUCUCCCGCAG
rnacentral:ncRNA from 2 species